rnacentral:rRNA from 1 species
UACGGGGGGAGCAAGCGUUUGUUCGGAUUUACUGGGCGUAAAGGGCGCGUAGGCGGUCGUGACAAGUCACUUGUGAAAUCUCCGGGCUUAACUCGGAACGGUCAAGUGAUACUGUCGGACUAGAGUACAGAAGGGGCAACUGGAAUUCUCGGUGUAGCGGUGAAAUGCGUAGAUAUCGAGAGGAACACCUGCGGCGAAGGCGGGUUGCUGGGCUGAUACUGACGCUGAGGCGCGAAAGCCAGGGGAGCAAACAGG